GACGAACGCUGGCGGCGCGCCUAACACAUGCAAGUCGAACGAGCGAGAGGAGGUUUACUUUCUCAAGCGAGUGGCGAACGGGUGAGUAACGCGUGAGGAACCUGCCUCAAAGAGGGGGACAACAGUUGGAAACGACUGCUAAUACCGCAUAAGCCCAUGGCUCGGCAUCGAGCAGAGGGAAAAGGAGCAAUCCGCUUUGAGAUGGCCUCGCGUCCGAUUAGCUGGUUGGUGAGGUAACGGCCCACCAAGGCGACGAUCGGUAGCCGGACUGAGAGGUUGAACGGCCACAUUGGGACUGAGACACGGCCCAGACUCCUACGGGAGGCAGCAGCGGGGAAUAUUGCACAAUGGGGGAAACCCUGAUGCAGCGACGCCGCGUGGAGGAAGAAGGUCUUCGGAUUGUAAACUCCUGUUGUUGAGGAAGAUAAUGACGGUACUCAACAAGGAAGUGACGGCUAACUACGUGCCAGCAGCCGCGGUAAAACGUAGGUCACAAGCGUUGUCCGGAAUUACUGGGUGUAAAGGGAGCGCAGGCGGGAAGACAAGUUGGAAGUGAAAUCCAUGGGCUCAACCCAUGAACUGCUUUCAAAACUGUUUUUCUUGAGUAGUGCAGAGGUAGGCGGAAUUCCCGGUGUAGCGGUGGAAUGCGUAGAUAUCGGGAGGAACACCAGUGGCGAAGGCGGCCUACUGGGCACCAACUGACGCUGAGGCUCGAAAGUGUGGGUAGCAAACAGGAUUAGAUACCCUGGUAGUCCACACUGUAAACGAUGAUUACUAGGUGUUGGAGGAUUGACCCCUUCAGUGCCGCAGUUAACACAAUAAGUAAUCCACCUGGGGAGUACGACCGCAAGGUUGAAACUCAAAGGAAUUGACGGGGGCCCGCACAAGCAGUGGAGUAUGUGGUUUAAUUCGACGCAACGCGAAGAACCUUACCAAGUCUUGACAUCCUGCGACGGUGCUGGAAACAGUACUUUCCUUCGGGACGCAGAGACAGGUGGUGCAUGGUUGUCGUCAGCUCGUGUCGUGAGAUGUUGGGUUAAGUCCCGCAACGAGCGCAACCCUUAUGGUCAGUUACUACGCAAGAGGACUCUGGCCAGACUGCCGUUGACAAAACGGAGGAAGGUGGGGAGGACGUCAAAUCAUCAUGCCCUUUAUGACUUGGGCUACACACGUACUACAAUGGCGUUAAACAAAGAGAAGCAAGACCGCGAGGCGGAGCAAAACUCAGAAACAACGUCCCAGUUCGGACUGCAGGCUGCAACUCGCCUGCACGAAGUCGGAAUUGCUAGUAAUCGCAGAUCAGCAUGCUGCGGUGAAUACGUUCCCGGGCCUUGCACU
rnacentral:rRNA from 1 species